UGACCAACCAUUCCUAUCCCUACUUCCUCGUGGUACUGGCCGGGGUACGAGCUUUGGUCGUAUGCUGCCAGGAAAGG
rnacentral:ribozyme from 1 species